CAGAAACUGCUCAUCAUUUCUGUUGAAAGCCUUGAUCUUGCCUGAGUUUUCUUCCAUCUUAUUCACAAGCUGGCAAACCCCUAUCACCUUAUUCUUUUUCCCAUUUUUUAUUGGUGUACACAGCAAACUCUUUAUAUGUUGACUUACACUUUCUGCACUGUCAGUUGUCCAGGGAAAUCUUCUGUCUUUGCAGACAUCUGGGAUGUUGAGAGGCUCCAUUGUAUUCUUGACAUACUGAGCAUACAUAUAAUUGAUUUUGUUUGUAUCACAGUCCCUCUUCUGGUUUUCUGCUGAAUCUUCUAAUUCCUC
rnacentral:lncRNA from 1 species